GAUGAACGCUGGCGGCGUGCCUAAUACAUGCAAGUCGAGCGAAUGAUGAGGAGCUUGCUCCUCUGAUUUAGCGGCGGACGGGUGAGUAACACGUGGGUAAUCUGCCUGUAAGACGGGGAUAACUCCGGGAAACCGGGGCUAAUACCGGAUAACAAAAGAAGAAGCAUUUCUUCUUUUUGAAAGUCGGCCUCUGGCUGACACUUACAGAUGAGCCCGCGGCGCAUUAGCUAGUUGGUGAGGUAACGGCUCACCAAGGCGACGAUGCGUAGCCGCCCUGAGAGGGUGAUCGGCCACACUGGGACUGAGACACGGCCCAGACUCCUACGGGAGGCAGCAGUAGGGAAUCUUCGGCAAUGGGCGAAAGCCUGACCGAGCAACGCCGCGUGAGCGAUGAAGGCCUUCGGGUCGUAAAGCUCUGUUGUUAGAGAAGAACAAGUACGAGAGUAACUGCUCGUACCUUGACGGUACCUAACCAGAAAGCCACGGCUAACUACGUGCCAGCCGCCGCAGUAAAAC
rnacentral:rRNA from 1 species